rnacentral:rRNA from 1 species
GAUGAACGCUGGCGGCGUGCCUAAUACAUGCAAGUCGAGCGAACGGACGAGAAGCUUGCUUCUCUGAUGUUAGCGGCGGACGGGUGAGUAACACGUGGAUAACCUACCUAUAAGACUGGGAUAACUUCGGGAAACCGUAGCUAAUACCGGAUAAUAUUUUGAACCGCAUGGUUCAAAAGUGAAAGACGGUCUUGCUGUCACUUAUAGAUGGAUCCGCGCUGCAUUAGCUAGUUGGUAAGGUAACGGCUUACCAAGGCAACGAUGCAUAGCCGACCUGAGAGGGUGGUCGGCCACACUGGAACUGAGACGCGGUCCAGACUCCUACGGGAGGCAGCAGUAGGGAAUCUUCCGCAAUGGGCGAAAGCCUGACGGAGCGACGCCGCGUGAGUGAUGGAGGUCUUCGGAUCGUAAAACUCUGUUAUUAGGGAAGAACAUAUGUGUGAGUAACUGUACACAUCUUGACGGUACCUAAUCAGAAAGCCACGGCUAACUACGUG